GACGAACGCUGGCGGCGUGCUUAACACAUGCAAGUCGAACGGAAAGGCCCUGCUUUUGUGGGUGCUCGAGUGGCGAACGGGUGAGUAACACGUGAGUAACCUGCCCUUGACUUUGGGAUAACUUCAGGAAACUGGGGCUAAUACCGGAUAGGAGCUCCUGCUGCCUGGUGGGGGUUGGAAAGUUUCGGCGGUUGGGGAUGGACUCGCGGCUUAUCAGCUUGUUGGUGGGGUAGUGGCUUACCAAGGCUUUGACGGGUAGCCGGCCUGAGAGGGUGACCGGCCACAUUGGGACUGAGAUACGGCCCAGACUCCUACGGGAGGCAGCAGUGGGGAAUAUUGCACAAUGGGCGGAAGCCUGAUGCAGCAACGCCGCGUGCGGGAUGGCGGCCUUCGGGUUGUAAACCGCUUUCGCCUGUGACGAAGCGUGAGUGACGGUAAUGGGUAAAGAAGCACCGGCUAACUACGUG
rnacentral:rRNA from 1 species